GAGGAUAAACGUUCCGCCCUGUUGUUUCGGCUCGAUUGAAGGUGACCUUUUUUCCCGGACGUCUCUUAUUUCUGAGGCCAUUAAUAUCGAUAUCAGGAGCCCCGCACACUCCUUUCCAACAACCUCAUGACCCGCUUCAUAGGAAGAGUCACCAGAGACAUGACGGUCGCUGUCGAGCUUCAUUUCUCUGAAGUCAUCAGGCAAGUCAAGGUGCGAUGUCCUGAGAAAGUUUAGAAUGUGUCGAAAGAUCUUACCAUCGCGGUCAAUGAAGCAAUUCCCCUGGCU